UACGGGGGGAGCAAGCGUUGUUCGGAAUUACUGGGCGUAAAGCGUGCGCAGGCGGUUCGUUAUGUCCGAUGUGAAAGCCCCGAGCUUAACUUGGGAAUGGCAUUGGAAACUGGCGGGCUGGAGUGCGGCAGAGGGGGGUGGAAUUCCACGUGUAGCAGUGAAAUGCGUAGAGAUGUGGAGGAACACCGAUGGCGAAGGCAGCCCCCUGGGCCGACACUGACGCUCAGGCACGAAAGCGUGGGGAGCAAACAGG
rnacentral:rRNA from 1 species